AUUUAUAUAAUUUACAAAAAAAUAUUGAUUUGUGGAAUCAAAAAUAUAAUUUAAAUAAUUAUUAUAAAUA
rnacentral:tRNA from 1 species